AAGUGAAAUGUAGCCAAGGGGCAGAGUUUUAACAAGUACUGACACAAGGAAACAAGUGGACUGAGAUAUGGUGAAAUGUUUGUGAAAGGGUGAAAUGU
rnacentral:lncRNA from 1 species